rnacentral:rRNA from 1 species
UUGGGGUUGUAGGACACUCUAUACGGAGUUACAAAGGACGACAUUAGACGAAUCAUCUGGAAAGAUGAAUCAAAGAAGGUAAUAAUCCUGUAGUCGAAAAUGUUGUCUCUCUUGAGUGGAUCCUGAGUACGACGGAGCACGUGAAAUUCCGUCGGAAUCUGGGAGGACCAUCUCCUAAGGCUAAAUACUCUCUAGUGACCGAUAGUGAACCAGUACCGUGAGGGAAAGGUGAAAAGCACCCCGGAAGGGGAGUGAAA